GAGUCCAGCUUGCUUGCAGGGAUAAUUCUGCUAGUAUCAUUAAAUACAUGAAUCAUCUCAAUCAUCCACAGAAGAAAUACCACUUUGGGGCAAAUGCUUGAGACCACAGCACGAGGGAGUCUAGAUGAGAACCCAGCCUUCAGAUUCCUACUGUGUCUCACAUGGAAAAGCCUAAACUAAAAAUCACUACUCUGAAUGGCAAAAAGCAACCAUGAGUAGAGAGCCCUGUAUCAGAGCAAGACCUUCACCUCUCUGAAACUCAGUUUCCAGAAGAAGAAAUUGAGGCUCCGACAGGAGAUGUGACUUGCUGAAGGUCCAAACCUGCAGCCUAGAGGAACCGUGUUUUGAUCCUCUGAUGUGCUAUGCUCAGGAUGCAUCCUGCCCAUGGUCAUCACCAGGGAUGGCUUGUUUGUUAGCAAGUUGUGCAAAGAGGCCUCCAGGAGCUUUCUAUGGAAGAUAUUUGUGAGCCAGGGCCACCGUAAGAAUGAAAUGGAGGCAGCUUGCAUGGGUAUUCUUAGGGCAUUCCCAAGAAAACAUCUGCACACAAAUCCAGGCAUUUCUCCUUGGACUUCAUCUCUGACUUCUCUCCUGGCUUCUGAACCUCUGUGGACUUGGCUUGGGCACCUCAUCGAUAGGCCAAGGUGGAAGGCGGCAAAACCUGGGCUCCUUUACGCUUCUCACUCAACAGUUACAGAAAUGCAAGUUGGGACCUUUUACGCUAAAGAUAACAUCCAUGUGUCCCAUUGUACUUUAAAAUGGCAAAGAAGAUUUCUCCUCCCAGGAAAACUGUUCUAA
rnacentral:lncRNA from 1 species